UGCUAACAUUAAGUUGAGGACUCUGGAAAGACUGCUAGUGUAAGCUAGAGGAAGGCGGGGAUGACGUCAAAUCAUCAUGCUCCUUAUGUCUUGGGCUACACACGUGCUACAAUGGCUAAUACAAACAGUUGCUAACCAGCGAUGGUACGCUAAUCUGAAAAAGUUAGUCUAAGUUCGGAUUGAAGUCUGCAACUCGACUUCAUGAAGCUGGAAUCACUAGUAAUCGUGGAUCAGAAUGCCACGGUGAAUACGUUCUCGGGUCUUGUACACACCGCCCGUCACACCACGAAAGUUGGUAACACCCAAAGUCGUUGUCUUAACCUUUUGGAUGGACGCGCCUAAGGUGGGAUUGAUAAUUGGGGUG
rnacentral:rRNA from 1 species